rnacentral:rRNA from 1 species
UACGGGGGGGGGCAAGCGUUGUUCGGAAUUACUGGGCGUAAAGGGCUCGUAGGCGGCCAACUAAGUCAGACGUGAAAUCCCUCGGCUUAACCGGGGAACUGCAUCUGAUACUGGAUGGCUUGAGUUCGGGAGAGGGAUGCGGAAUUCCAGGUGUAGCGGUGAAAUGCGUAGAUAUCAGGAGGAACACCGGUGGCGAAGGCGGGUCUCUGGGCCGAUACUGACGCUGAGGAGCGAAAGCGUGGGGAGCGAACAGG